rnacentral:rRNA from 1 species
CCUACGGGCGACAGCAGUGAGGAAUAUUGGUCAAUGGGCGGGAGCCUGAACCAGCCAAGCCGCGUGAGGGAAGAAGGUACAGCGUAUCGUAAACCUCUUUUGUCAGGGAACAAAGGCGGGGACUAGUCCCCGGAUGAGGGUACCUGAAGAAAAAGCAUCGGCUAACACCGUGCCAGCAGCCGCGGUAAUACGGAGGAUGCGAGCGUUAUCCGGAUUUAUUGGGUUUAAAGGGUGCGCAGGCGGCCUGUUAAGUCAGCGGGAAAAGCCCGGGGCUCAACCCCGGCGAGCCGUUGAAACUGGGGGGCUGGAGUUGGAGAGAAGUACGCGGAAUGCGCGGUGUAGCGGUGAAAUGCUUAGAUAUCGCGCAGAACCCCGAUUGCGAAGGCAGCGUACCGGCUCCACACUGACGCUGAGGCACGAAAGCGUGGGUAUCGAACAGGAUUAGAUACCCUAGUAGUC